AUUGAACGCUGGCGGCAGGCUUAACACAUGCAAGUCGAGCGGGGUGAUGGUGCUUGCACUAUCACUUAGCGGCGGACGGGUGAGUAAUGCUUAGGAAUCUGCCUAUUAGUGGGGGACAACAUCUCGAAAGGGAUGCUAAUACCGCAUACGUCCUACGGGAGAAAGCAGGGGAUCUUUAUGACCUUGCGCUAAUAGAUGAGCCUAAGUCGGAUUAGCUAGUUGGUGGGGUAAAGGCCUACCAAGGCGACGAUCUGUAGCGGGUCUGAGAGGAUGAUCCGCCACACUGGGACUGAGACACGGCCCAGACUCCUACGGGAGGCAGCAGUGGGGAAUAUUGGACAAUGGGGGGAACCCUGAUCCAGCCAUGCCGCGUGUGUGAAGAAGGCCUUAUGGUUGUAAAGCACUUUAAGCGAGGAGGAGGCUCUUUUGGUUAAUACCCAGAAUGAGUGGACGUUACUCGCAGAAUAAGCACCGGCUAACUCUGUGCCGGCAGCCGCCGUAACAC
rnacentral:rRNA from 1 species